GCAAAGUUUGAUUCUGGCUUUUAGAACUUAAAUUAAAUAUUAUUUUACAUGUAAAUUUUAGUAUUUUUAUCAAUUUCUAAAUGAAACGUAAAUCAUCACAGUAUAUAAUUUUAUAUAUUAUUAAAAUUAGAUAUAGUAAUUUUUAUUAGAGUGGACAAAAUUCGUGCCAGCAGUCGCGGUUAUACGAUUUACUCAAUUUAAGUGUUAAAAUUUCAGUUAUAAUUAUUAGUGAUUUCAAAAUCUAUAAAUUUUGGUGAAAUAUAUUUUUAGUGUAAUUCUCUUAUUAUGUCUGAGAAACCUAAAUUUAAACUAGGAUUAGAUACCCUAUUAUUAAAGGUGUAAAACAUAUGAUUGGAUGAUUAAUAGUUAUGAUCUUCAAAUUCAAAGAAUUUGGCGGUAGUUUAUCUUUUUAGAGGAACCUGUUCUAUAAUCGAUAGUCCACGAUACAUCUUACUUUAAUUAUACUUGUAUAUCUCUGUCAAGAAUGUUCUAUAAGGAAUAUUUUCAUUAAUUUUAUUAAUUUUAUGUCAGGUCAAGGUGCAGUUUAUCUUAAAGUAGAAAUGGGUUACAUUUAAUUAUUUUUGAAUUAAUAUUUGACUAAUUUAUUAUGAAAAUGGAUUUGAUAGUAAAUUUAUUAAGUUAAAUAAAUUGAACUGAGCUCUGAAUUAUGUACACAUCGCCCGUCACUCUCAUUCUAAGAUGAGACAAGUCGUAACAAAGUAGUUGUACCGGAAGGUGUGGCUAGAAUGA
rnacentral:ncRNA from 1 species